rnacentral:rRNA from 1 species
CCUACGGGGUGCUGCAGUGGGGAAUAUUGGACAAUGGGGGCAACCCUGAUCCAGCCAUGCCGCGUGUGUGAAGAAGGCCCUCGGGUUGUAAAGCACUUUCAGUGAGGAAGAACGCCUGGUGGUUAAUACCCAUCAGGAAAGACAUCACUCACAGAAGAAGCACCGGCUAACUCCGUGCCAGCAGCCGCGGUAAUACGGAGGGUGCGAGCGUUAAUCGGAAUUACUGGGCGUAAAGCGCGCGUAGGUGGCUUGAUAAGCCGGUUGUGAAAGCCCCGGGCUCAACCUGGGAACGGCAUCCGGAACUGUCAAGCUAGAGUGCAGGAGAGGAAGGUAGAAUUCCCGGUGUAGCGGUGAAAUGCGUAGAGAUCGGGAGGAAUACCAGUGGCGAAGGCGGCCUUCUGGACUGACACUGACACUGAGGUGCGAAAGCGUGGGUAGCAAACAGGAUUAGAUACCCCUGUAGUC